GCGCUUGCUUCGGCAGUGCUAAAAUUGGAACAAUACAGAGAAGAUUAGCAUGGCCUCUGUGUAAGGAUGACUCAUGAAACAUUCCAUUAGAAA
ensembl:snRNA U6 U6 spliceosomal RNA